rnacentral:rRNA from 1 species
UACGUAGGGGGGCAAGCGUUAUCCGGAAUUAUUGGGCGUAAAGAGCUCGUAGGCGGUUUGUUGCGUCGGCUGUGAAAUCCCGAGGCUCAACCUCGGGUCUGCAGUCGAUACGAGCAAACUAGAGUGUUGCAGGGGGAGACUGGAAUUCCUGGUGUAGCGGUGGAAUGCGCAGAUAUCAGGGAGGAACACCGGUGGGCGAAGGCGGGUCUCUGGGCAGUAACUGACGCUGGAGGAGCGAAAGCGUGGGGAGCGAACGG